CGCCUAUAGGGCCUUGCCCUACUCACAACACCCAUACCCACCGUGUGUGGGUUAUGGUAUUUCGAAUCCAAUACUAAUUUUUGGCAUUCUAAAUAAUUUUUAACCUGAAUAUUAAUAUUAUUUUUGCUUCUACGAUCGACCAUGUUUGGUCCCGAUCUAUUGAAUUAAUUAAAAGUAACCUACAGUCCAUUAAUCUGAUAAUAAAUCCAAAGUUAUUGACCUGAAGAUCACUUUUAGACAUUAACGAUUCAAUAUUUUAUUUCUUUUCUUUGAACCGUUGACUCAUUUUCGUAGUCCUAAAGCGAUCACACUUGAGUUCCUAAAGAAACUCAAAUCCACUACACUUUCUUUAUUAUUGCAUUCUAUGUUCUUACAGGAACUUCUCUUUUAUGAACUAAAUGUUCAUAAACUAAAUUGAACCUGUAGUUUCAAAUUUAUUGCCUUUGAAAACCCAAAGAUUUCAUAAAACAAUACACCCAUGAAAACCCAACGUUUUUCAUGAAAACCAUGUCUUAGAACUCAAAUGUUCUAACUUUGAUGCUUAUGGAUGAUUCAUUCCCAUAGCACCAAUCACAAUCUUAUUCCUCAAAAUCAAUGGAUUGUCAAACCGUCACAAGUUCGAUUUCCCUUAUUUGGAUGUUUCUAAUAGAAGCCAUUUUAUAUGUGGAUGCAAGACGUGAGUCUCCACUUAACUAUCAAGAAGCUGAGAAACCAUUGAAGCUAACAAUGGCAAGGAGCUGAAUAAGCCUCCACCAUGAUCUUCAUUCGAAGACUUAUACCUGAAGCAUUACAAAUGGAAAUCCCUCCCUAACGAGGAUUCCAUGGCUAUUUGGCUCGCUCCUAUGGACUAGCUAAUAAUGAAAAACAUUGCCUGAAGCACACCAUGAUUACUUCUAUGAAUGAGUAAAAUUCUGAAGUUUAUAAAUCCGAUCGAAUUUUGACUGGAGAAUACCUUUCUCAUCCUUCCAUGUUUCUAACUCGCUCCUGAAGCAGCAGUGUAAAAAGCACAAGUUUACCAAAUUCUCGGAUCUGAUUACUACCACCAACAUAUGGUAGAAUCAGGGCCUACCAAGGUGUGGUAACAUGUCCAAAGCAUGAUCAUUGGCACCUAAGACCUAAAACUUCAAGAAUAAGGGAUAAUAUUCUCGAACCUCAACCCUGCAGAAUCUACUUCCGCCUCGAUGGAAUAAAUCAUUGGUUAUGCACCUGUUCGUGCCUCUACCAAUGUCGUUGAGAGGUACCAUUCUAGUAGUCAAUAUGUGAGAUUAAUUUUGCUCCACCGAACAUGAAUGACCUUGUUGGCUGAAUCCAGCCUAGUAACUUUGGAUUACUUUGAACAUUUUUUCAUGUUCUUGGAUUCAAGUUUGGUGUAUGUUUUACUUAUGGAUAAUCUUAUUGAUAUUGUGCUCGAAUAUGAGUUAAUUGAAUCAUAUUUCUUAAUACAUGUGACCAAUUCAAUUAAACAUGUGAUUAGGUAGGAAUGUGGG
rnacentral:lncRNA from 1 species